AAGGGCUGGGGGAGCGGCCGCGGUGCAGGCAGGUGAGGAGGGGCGGGGGGGGGGGGGGGUGAGGCGUGAGGGCCCGGCAGGCUGGAUGGUCUGGGAGAAACUGCGAGGGGGCAGAUGGUAAUGAGGCCUAAAAGGGGCAGUGACCCUGGGGAAGGUCACCGGCCCGGCAGAACUAGUGCUCCUAGGGCCUGGUGUGAGGCGGUACAGGGGCGGGGCGGGGGGCGGGGGUGACACGGUAGGCCUGCCUGAGCUUGUCCCGCCAUCUCAGAUUUCAAGUAGAUCCCCUGAGCCUGGGUUGGCCAGUCCCCCUGAGCAGGCCCCCCAUGCUCCUGGCGGCCUCAGCCCCCAACCAGAUGAGGUGGGCGGGGAGUCCUCCAUCUCAGGCCUGCACAGCACCUGCCCAGGGGCUCCCCAACUGACUGCCGAAUUGCACUGAGCCUGGCAAGGACUGCUAGCAGCUGAGAUGCCCACUCCCUUGCCCCUCUGAGGGGGAUGCAGAGUCACCAGUGGGCUCCGCAGACUGAGAGCUGGGGGCAGGUGUCCAAGGUGUGCAUUCCUUCAGUUACUUGAUAACUAUGUAGGGAUUACCUGCUGUGUCCUAGCUACUGUUUUAGAUGCUGGCAAUACAGUGCAGAACUGAACAGACAAAAUGUUUGCCUUGGUAGAGCUUUCAUGCCAGUCAGGGGAAUAAAUAAACAAAAUAAAGUACUAAGUUAGAAAGUAAAGAUGGUUACUUGAAGAAAUAGAGGAAAGCCGAAUGAGGAGAAUGAAGAGUCGGGGGGCAAGGGGUGUGGAAGGUGUUGCAGUGUUCAGUGGGAUGUUAGCAACAACCUCAUGGAAGUGACAUUUGAUGAGGACUCAAAGAGGGUGAGAGAGAGCACGAGGCUGUCUCUGGGAGAAGAGCAUUCUUGGCAGAGGAAACAGCCAUGCAAAGGCCCUGUGGUGAGAGCAUAAGACCAAAGAGACCAGAGUGGUUGGAGUGUGGUGAGGGAGGCGAGGUGACACAGGAGAGCUCAGAGGUAGGAGGAGGAGUUUCAGUUCUUGGCAGGCCUUGUGGGCCAUUAUAAAGACCUUGGCGUUUACUCUGGUGAAAUGGGAGGCCCAUGAAGGACUUGACCUAUAUUUUAGGACUAUGACUGUGGCGGUUGUGCUGAGAAUCCCACCAGUAGCUCAGGAGAGGGAUGGUUGUGGAUACACCAGGGUGAUAGCUGGCGCUGGGGUGACGAUGUUGGAUUCUGGACACGCAUUCGAGGAUGGAGCUCUGGAACACCAAGGCUGCGGGAGAACAGACCUUGUGGACGGCAGUUCACCAUGAGGUAGCUGAAAUGAGAUAUUGGAUGUGAAGAGGGAAGGUUAGGAGAUAACUUUGGCCAUGACCAGCACAACCUUCAGGCACCCCCAACCUCAAAAUUUGACCUGAAGGGUCUCAGAUGCCGAGGACAGCUGCAGGAAGGGGAUAUGUUAAAGUUUUACCAGGGACCCUUUUGUACCUUGUCCCUUUGGUUCCAUCAAGCGGGAAGAGGAGGAAGUGGAGAAGGAAUCUCCACAGUAACUAUUUCCCCUUCCUCUCAAAAGCCUCAUAUUCUCCUGUCAGCUCUCGCAUGGAGAUCUGUCUUUCUAGAUGUUUGCCUGGAAUGUUCUCUCCCCUCUGACCUAGGAGGGACAUUCCUGUGCAUUCUUGGAGACUGAGGCCCAGGAGUCUAGCUCCACGGCUGACAGAUCCUGUGGACCCCCCAGAAGUGCUAUCUCCCUCUGUGAUAGGGCUCUGUAGUGACGAGUGUCACUCCGCCUCAGCCACGACGCUGUGAUGUGACUGCUGCUGUUCCUUCCGUGCCCCCACCAGCUGAUAGGUUCCAAGACAAGGCCUCUGUCUUCAUGAGGGCAGAAUGGAGCCUGAACCCUGUCUCAGGGGGUGCUGCCUGGCCAGUGGCAUUUAACCUCUCCGUCUCUCACCUGCUCACAGCUCUUCAGGUAGAACACCUACCCCCCACAGAGCUGGUUGAGAAGUCAGUGAGGAAAUACAAGCAAAGCACUUAAAAUUUACUACACCAUAAGAAUACAAAAAACGUGAGCUCUCAUUCUGCAUCUCUGUCCCCCUUGCACCCACAACAUAGCGGCUUGAGUGAAAGAGUGAAUGAAUGAGGUGGGAGAUCUCCAAGGUCUGGAAUCAGCCUGCAAAUAUUUUCCUUUAGGACUUCACAGAACAAUUAGAAUCUGUGAUGAUGUCCAUCUUCACGGUGUCCAUCUUCACGGUGUCCAUCUUCACGGCAGACCACCCUGGGAAUAGCAGACCCCAACAGAGUACUCAAGGCCAUUUGCUUGAGUCCUGGGGUCGCUGGGGCAGAGGUUUCAGGAUCAGAAGCUACCAAAUAUUGUCAGCCUGACCUGCCCAGAGAAAGAACCGCGCAGAGCCCUGGAUGGGCCCCGCAGCCCCUGGACUCAGUCUCACCUCUCUACCGUUUUGGUCCUCACCCACGGCCCGGGCUGCUCUGGCAGCUUCUGUGACAGCCCUGGAGGCAUUCAAGAGAUGGCAUGUGGAGAAGUUCCAGACUGUUUUCCAGACACUGGUAUUACAGGUUUGACAAGGAUGUGAAAAAUCACAGCCUGUAGGCCAAACCCAGCCCUGAGGCCUGUCGAUGCCCAGAAGUGGAAGAUGGCUCAGAGGGUAUAACUCCUGCUAAUCCCUAGAGCAAAUCUGGCUUACCAGGAGCAGUGGGGACAGGCUAAAGGCUCAGAGCAAAGGUCAGUGCAAAUGGGGGUGCCUCUGGGGCCUGGAAACCUCCCAGUCCCCUUCCCCCUGAAAGCCUGGGUCUCCUUUGCAACUAGAAUAGGAGAUGAGGGAGUAGCGGGGGAGGGUGCUUGAGGUCUGGGCUGGGGUGGGUUGGGGGAAACUCUAGUGGCUUCCCUCAGCUUCUCUUCCAGGAGGACAAGGCAAGAAGAGGGGCAAGGGCCCGUGCCCUGGACCUCCCUCAUCCAGGAAGGCUCUUCUCCAAAUACCCAUGUGGUCCUCUUCCCUUCCUCAUGUCUCUGUCCCAAGAUCACCUCCUCAGGGAGGCCUUCCCCAACCACCUUAUCUAAACCCACUCCCUGCCAUUCCCUUCACUCCCUAUCCUUCUGUUCUGUUGUGGUUUUUGCCUUCUUUCUUGAUUUCUAGGUAUUAAUUCAGUGUUUAUUGUCACUCUCCCGUCACUCAAAUGUAGCCUCCAUGAGGGCAGAGGAUUUUGGGGGAUUUUGUCGUUGGUGCUCCACAGAUAUUUGCUGAGAGGAUGAAUGAGUAGAAGGAAGGUAGUGGGGCUGCACUGGAUGGGUGAACUCGAGGCCCGGACAUCCCAGGAGACAGGCCCGCAGAAGUGGGAAUCAGCUUGCUAAAGCCAGUGGUUCAGAUGGAAGGGGCCGAUGGGAAUCCAGAAGGGGCAAAGGACCAAGGCCUCAGCAUGCUGACAGAACGUCACUUCUAACCUUUGACCUGAGCAUGCUGGGUGGCAGUCCUGUGGUCUGGUGGCCUGCGCCCCGGGAGGUGCAAGCCAUGAGCAGCUACCGCAGGGGCAGGUGACCCUGCAGCCAUGCCCAGAGGAACCUGGGAGGCACGCCAGAGCCUGUGGGCUUGGGGCUUGAGUAAUGACCGCUGCCACGCCUUGGGAUGGUUUGUAAUUAUGAAAUAUUUCAUACAUACAAAACAUAUAA